AUGGAUCCCCCUACGGACGCCCUGGCGGGCACCAGUGCUGGCGGCGGCUCCUUCGGAACGCCGGAUCUUCGAGAUUUCAUGGAACAACUCAACCUGGAAGAUGAAGACUUUGAUGAUCUGGUGAUAGAUGAGGCUGAUCCAGAGAUCAAUGACAGCGUGAGAUGGCUUGCGCUGGCUAGGGUUCACACCGAUAAAUCUUUCAGCUAGGUGGCUUUCUAUAAGGAUAUGCGUGCGGCUUGGAACCCUGCGCAGCUGGUGAGAUUUCGUCCGGUUGGUCCGAAGCUAUUUGUUGUGCAGGCAUCAUGUUUGGGAGAUUGGGAACGCAUGAUGUAUCAAGGGCCAUGGCUCUUUAGGAAUUUGCUUGUGUUGAUGGUUCCAUAUGAUGGGUUUACAAAGGCAGAGGAGGUGCCAAAGGUGUUCAUGCCAAUUUGGCUAUAG
rnacentral:rRNA from 1 species